GUUCGUUUGGCCGAGCGGUUAUGGCGUGUGACUCAAGACGUACGUCUUGCCUUCAUUCGAAGGUAGCAUUCUCAUAGGGUUUCCCUGCGUGAGUUCGAAUCUCACAGCGAACA